AGCGCUGAUGCGAGAGUUUCCGGGGAGUCCCGCCAGGUCCUUCCCCAGACACCUGAAGAGAUGGGGGAAGGAGAAUCAAUUUGGAGAGCCAAGUUUGCCUGACAUUUUGGAGCACACAUUUACCCAGGACCCCAAGUUCCUUGUAGCUGCUAAAUGCUGUACUAGUUCUAAAAUGUAAAUUAGCUUCAAGAUGUUUCCAUGAAGAAAAAUCCCGCCUUCAACUUCUACGUUAUUCAUCCUGCUUUUAGAAAUGACCCUUGCCCUGAUCUGAGGUGGAAGAAAUAAAGGUCUGGUAAAGAAAUGA
ensembl:lncRNA LINC02931 long intergenic non-protein coding RNA 2931